UACGUAGGGGGCAAGCGUUAUCCGGAUUUACUGGGUGUAAAGGGAGCGUAGGCGGCGUGCCAAGUCUGGUGUGAAAGGCCGGGGCUCAACCCCGGGACUGCUUUUGAAACUGUUGAACUAGAUUGCAGGAGAGGUAAGUGGAAUUCCUAGUGUAGCGGUGAAAUGCGUAGAUAUUAGGAGGAACACCAGUGGCGAAGGCGGCCUGCUGGACGAUGACUGACGUUGAGGCUCGAAAGCGUGGGGAGCAAACAGG
rnacentral:rRNA from 1 species